rnacentral:miRNA from 1 species
AGAAACAACACUUGCUAAAAGA